AUAAAAUAUUUUUAGUAGCAUUAUUAUUAAUUCCUCAGGCGACUUUGUGCUCAAUUUUAAAAGAGGUUCUCCUGGUUUUGGAAAAUCUUAUCUGAUUCAGGAGCAAAUCAUCGGUUACACUCCCCUAUCACCAGUGAUUCCUUGUUUUUAGCUGACACUCUGAAAAAGGUAUUGUGUGUAGGGCAAGAACAUUAAAGAUAAAGGGAAACUAUAAACAGAAGAAGUUAUUAACAAAAAUAGAUUUACAGAGGUCAACAAGUCUAAAUGGUCAGACAUCUUGAUUUUCAUGGUCAUUAUUCAACAGAUCAAUACUGAACAGAAAACUUAAAGUUGAUAUUUUUCUCCAUAGUGCGACUUUUUUUAUGAAUUUGAAAUGGAACAUGUUUUUUCCUUCAUUUAUUAGAAAGAGGAAAUUUCAACAUAAUGACUAAACAAAAAGAUCGAGUCAUAUCAUCACAAUCAUAGUCUAGAUGCACAAGAACUUGAUCACGGAAAUGCAACAAUGUACGGAAUUAUCAAUUGGAAGAAGGACUGAAUGAAAAAAAUUUUAGUUUGUUGUUGUCCAAAUAAACUUGCUUCUCAUUUGAAUUGCUCCAUCCAAUAAAGAUGUAUAGAGGAAGAUCUUUGAAGAACAGAUUAAAAAAAUGUUUUGUCUAAGAAUUGCAGGAAUAUUCUGGUGGAUGAAAUAGUUUUACUGUUUAUUGACUUAAUUCUUAUAUAGCAUGUAUAGUGGACUGAAUAAUUGUACAUAGCAAGCAAUGAAAAAAGAAAACUACAACUUUAACAGAAAAAGUGUUUGUAUUAUAAAUUUGCAAAUAUACCCAUAAUAUUAUGUAUAAGGUAUAUAAUUCAAAUUGUUUGCAUAUUCAUGUAUUGCAAUGAAACUAUACAUGCUAUAACAA